rnacentral:rRNA from 1 species
GACGAACGCUGGCGGCGUGCUUAACACAUGCAAGUCGAACGGAAAGGCCCUGCUUUUGUGGGGUGCUCGAGUGGCGAACGGGUGAGUAACACGUGAGUAACCUGCCCUUGACUUUGGGAUAACUUCAGGAAACUGGGGCUAAUACCGGAUAGGAGCUCCUGCUGCAUGGUGGGGGUUGGAAAGUUUCGGCGGUUGGGGAUGGACUCGCGGCUUAUCAGCUUGUUGGUGGGGUAGUGGCUUACCAAGGCUUUGACGGGUAGCCGGCCUGAGAGGGUGACCGGCCACAUUGGGACUGAGAUACGGCCCAGACUCCUACGGGAGACAGCAGUGGGGAUUAUUGCACAAUGGGCGGAGGCCUGAUGCAGCAACGCCGCGUGCGGGAUGACGGCCUUCGGGUUGUAAACCGCUUUCGCCUGUGACGAAGCGUGAGUGACGGUAAUGGGUAAAGAAGCACCGGCUAACUACGUG